UACAGAGGGUGCAAGCGUUGUUCGGAAUUACUGGGCGUAAAGCGCGUGUAGGCGGCUAAGUAAGUCGGGCGUGAAAUCCCACGGCUCAACCGUGGAAGUGCACUCGAAACUGCAUAGCUAGAGUCCUGGAGAGGAAGGUGGAAUGCUUGGUGUAGAGGUGAAAUUCGUAGAUAUCAAGCGGAACACCGGUGGCGAAGGCGGCCUUCUGGACAGUGACUGACGCUGAGACGGCGAAAGCGUGGGGAGCAAACAGG
rnacentral:rRNA from 1 species